GUGCUUGCUUCGGCAGCACAUAUGCUAAAAUUGGGACAAUACUGAGAAGAUUAGCAUGGCCCCUGCGUAAGGAUGACAUGCAAAUUCGUGAAGCGUUCCAUAUUAAA
ensembl:snRNA U6 U6 spliceosomal RNA